rnacentral:lncRNA from 1 species
GAUUGCUUUAAACCAAUUUAACCGAUUAAUCACGCAAGACUAUAUUAAACAAACAAAUGAUAGAUUGAAUUGAAUAAUUGAUUAAGACUAUAAUUAACAAGAAAAAGAAAAGAUAAUUAAUUAAUAUAAACACAUGACAAGAAAACCUAAGGUUAUGAAUUUGCCAAUAACAAUCUUAUCUUUCCAAGCAUAUAUUGUGACAACUCGUCCCUAGUUCUACAAUUUUAUAAAUUUUAAAGGUGGAAAUUUACGAAAAUACCCUGAGAGGCGAGGGUAUUGACUUACGUUGACC